ACCCCAGGGAUGCAUGUCCCUUCAAGUGACUCUGACUGGGCCUUACUGCUGCGCCAUGCAACAAGGUGACAGGAGACUUCUGUGACAGGAGAAGGGGAGGAAAGGCCAGGACUUCUGACUGGGAGCUGACUGCAGCUAUGAAGAGCUUGCUGAAAUGUGGCGCCUGUAUCUUAAAUCAGGUCUGCCAUGCCACAGGGGCAUCUCCAGCAGAGGAGGACAAGCUGAUACGGAGCCAGCAGCCUGCUCAGAAGGAGGGAAGCGCGGAGCAAUUCCCCGCUUGCAGAGAUGGAUGGGUUUGUGGCAGGAUUUCACCACGGAGGAGGAAAAUGUCUCCAAGCCUCGGGCACGUGCUGCGUUUUGGCAAACUGGAGCGGUCGGGAUCUCAGAGCCUGUUUGGUGGUAGAAGAUAAAGGAGGAAACCUCCAAGAAAUUGCGCUUGCCCUCUCCUCAAAAAAAAAAAAAAAGGCAGUGCAAGAAGAGAGCAUUCACCUCUCAAAUGGCUGGAUUCCA